GACGAACCGUGCGAACGUUAUUCGGAAUCACUGGGCUUAAAGGGCGCGUAGGCGGGUCAUCAAGUCUGGGGUGAAAUCUUUCGGCUUAACCGGAAAAUAGCCUUGGAUACUGGUGGUCUCGAGGGAAGUAGGGGUCUGCGGAACUUCCGGUGGAGCGGUGAAAUGUGUUGAUAUCGGAAGGAACGCCGGUGGCGAAAGCGGCGGACUGGGCUUCUUCUGACGCUGAGGCGCGAAAGCUAGGGGAGCAAACGGG
rnacentral:rRNA from 1 species